AGAAGAGUAGACUCUCGAGCAGUGCAGUCAACUGAUAAGAAGUCUUCAUUUAGUCUGUCCUUCCUUAUGGAACUAAUCCCUCUAAUAAGAACAUCUGCUGGUGGGUUGAAAUUCUUUUUCUAGAAAUCUCCUGCUGUGCCACAUUAUAGCCUGUGAAAGUAUCAGAGAGGAGAUCUAGGAGCCAGUCCAAAUAUGAACGUUUCACUGCAACCUCGUUCGAAACAAGCGACUUUCUGGAUGAUCAAAUGUCGGAUUAAAGGAAUUAUGAUAUUAGGAAGAUUGCUGAAUUACCAAUUCGAGAGGCAGCACUGGAGAGCAGCCGAGUCUGCAGGAUCUAGAUUUUAUGGAAAAUUUUGAAGCGGGUGAAAGCCAUCUCAGGGCACAGAUUAUUGGAUAAUUAAAGAAAAAACACACAGAAAAAAAAAAACAGGGGUCUGCGACUUGGCAACCGCGAGAUUCUCACCAUUCAGCAAGGCAGGGAAAAAAGAAAAUAAGAAUUAAAUGACACAGAAUAUGGUUACUGUCUGCGCUCCAAUCCCGCUGUGUGGUCGGGUCCGUUACAUUCUGACAGAGAAGCAAGAAAUAAAUUGGUGCCCAGCUCGGGCUUUGGAGAAGUGGUAUAAUUCAGAAGAUAGCUGAGAUCCUGUGUGUCCUGCAUUCCUGGAGGGCCCUGAGAAAUGGCAGCCGAGCAGCUGCCGCUGUUUAUUUACGUACAUUCCUGCCUUAAAUUGAGCUAAUGAAGGUAAAAAAGGAAGACAUGAUACAUUGUGAACGGGAAAGUAAUACCUCGCACAUGCUUAGAUCUGCCCCCGGACAAGCAAUGGAUCUUUUCAAUUGACUGACAAUGAAACGUUUGAACAGUUUGAUAUGAUGGAUGAGAGGAGGAAAUACACUUGGCUCCUCUUACGUUAAUUUUUUCUUUUUGCCUAUAUUAGUAGAUACAUGUGUUAUCAGCAUGUCCGCUCAUGGGAACUCAGCUGUCUUCACCGCGUGAAGGAUAAAAGUCAAUGGAAACAAAAUUCACCAAAAAUACUAUAAGGUACU